rnacentral:rRNA from 1 species
CAGGCUUAACACAUGCAAGUCGAGGGGCAGCAGGAUCUAGCAAUAGAUUGCUGGCGACCGGCGCACGGGUGAGUAACACGUAUCCAACCUGCCGAUAACUCGGGGAUAGCCUUUCGAAAGAAAGAUUAAUACCCGAUAGUAUAAUCAGACCGCAUGGUUUGAUUAUUAAAGAAUUUCGGUUAUCGAUGGGGAUGCGUUCCAUUAGGCAGUUGGUGAGGUAACGGCUCACCAAACCUUCGAUGGAUAGGGGUUCUGAGAGGAAGGUCCCCCACAUUGGAACUGAGACACGGUCCAAACUCCUACGGGAGGCAGCAGUGAGGAAUAUUGGUCAAUGGGCGCAGGCCUGAACCAGCCAAGUAGCGUGAAGGAUGACUGCCCUAUGGGUUGUAAACUUCUUUUAUAUGGGAAUAAAGUUUUCCACGUGUGGAAUUUUGUAUGUACCAUAUGAAUAAGGAUCGGCUAACUCCGUGCCAGCAGCCGCGGUAAUACGGAGGAUCCGAGCGUUAUCCGGAUUUAUUGGGUUUAAAGGGAGCGUAGGUGGACAGUUAAGUCAGUUGUGAAAGUUUGCGGCUCAACCGUAAAAUUGCAGUUGAUACUGGCUGUCUUGAGUACAGUAGAGGUGGGCGGAAUUCGUGGUGUAGCGAUGAAAUGCUUAGAUAUCACGAAAAACUCCGAUUGCGAAGGCAGCUCACUGGACUGCAACUGACACUGAUGCUCGAAAGUGUGGGUAUCAAACGGGAUUAGAAACCCUGGUAGUCCACACAGUAAACGAUGAAUACUCGCUGUUUGCGAUAUACAGUAAGCGGCCAAGCGAAAGCAUUAAGUAUUCCACCUGGGGAGUACGCCGGCAACGGUGAAACUCAAAGGAAUUGACGGGGGCCCGCACAAGCGGAGGAACAUGUGGUUUAAUUCGAUGAUACGCGAGGAACCUUACCCGGGCUUAAAUUGCAUUUGAAUAAUCUGGAAACAGGUUAGCCGCAAGGCAAAUGUGAAGGUGCUGCAUGGUUGUCGUCAGCUCGUGCCGUGAGGUGUCGGCUUAAGUGCCAUAACGAGCGCAACCCUUAUCUUUAGUUACUAACAGGUCAUGCUGAGGACUCUAGAGAGACUGCCGUCGUAAGAUGUGAGGAAGGUGGGGAUGACGUCAAAUCAGCACGGCCCUUACGUCCGGGGCUACACACGUGUUACAAUGGGGGGUACAGAAGGCAGCUACCUGGUGACAGGAUGCUAAUCCCAAAAGCCUCUCUCAGUUCGGAUCGAAGUCUGCAACCCGACUUCGUGAAGCUGGAUUCGCUAGUAAUCGCGCAUCAGCCAUGGCGCGGUGAAUACGUUCCCGGGCCUUGUACACACC